CAAAGUGUUCUGUACAACUGGGGCGAGUGCUAGGGAGUCUCUCUAGACUAGACCUGCCGUAUGGCGGCGCUAUGUCUGCAAUCACUGAUAGUGGCGACAGACAGGUCCGACAUAUACCAACGGACCACGGCUGAUUUAAAGGCUACCACCUAGCAAGUGUGGUGUCUGGCGGUGACACCACAUCAACAUCGCUUUAAAUUGAUUUGGACUUUGAAGCAGUAAAAUCAGGUGAUAUUAAGUUCACUGGAUUCCUGAAACUCUGUGUCUGAUAACAUGGCAUCAAACUCUUCAAACCCUUCUGCAGAGAGCAUUGACUUAUUGGUGGAAAGGGUAGGAGGCAACACAGCACUCGGCCAUCGCAUUUGGGCGACAAUCCUGCUUCAUGAGUCUCUCAAAAUUUAUAUACAAAAAUUAUUUGUUCAUAUUGUGAUAAUGUAUGUUUUUUUAUCAAUAUAAGUUGUAUUUUCUGUAAUCUGUAUGCAAAAUUCAAAAUAUGUAUACAAUGUGACCACAAUUAUCUGCAGCCUUUUAAAUGUGUCUGAAGCUCAAAAAGUUUGAGAAUCACUGUCUUAUAUUAUUGGUAACAGUGCUGCCAAUUACAAAACAAUACUGCAAUAUGUCUACUUUUAAUUACGCUUCUGAGGUUUUCAUUUGACUCCUUCUCAUACUUACAGAUGCAUGUAAGAAUAAAAACAAAAAAUUGUAAUUACAUUUCAAUUAAUAACAUGAAAAAGAACAAAGUCAAAGAAUACAAAAUUAUGAUGAGCAAGGUAUAUGUCUGUAACUAUGA